rnacentral:rRNA from 1 species
CAGUAGCCGCGGUAAUACGUAGGUGGCAAGCGUUGUCCGGAAUUAUUGGGCGUAAAGGGCUCGCAGGCGGUUUCUUAAGUCUGAUGUGAAAGCCCCCGGCUCAACCGGGGAGGGUCAUUGGAAACUGGGAAACUUGAGUGCAGAAGAGGAGAGUGGAAUUCCACGUGUAGCGGUGAAGUGCGUAGAGAUGUGGAGGAACACCAGUGGCGAAGGCGACUCUCUGAUCUGUAACUGACGCUGAGGAGCGAAAGCGUGGGGAGCGAACAGGAUUAGAUACCCGCGUAGUCCCUGUCUCUUAUAC